UUAUUUUGAAAGGAUAAAUCAUUCAGGGACAGGCAGUGGCACAGAAUGUAAUCAGUUUGUGGCGUGAGCGCAGUGUUGGUUUUUGCUUCAAGUCACUUUGGUAUAGUCAAGCUUUUACAGAUACAGUGAGGUAGCUCUGCAACUUUAGCAAACAGUCUGUCACCGGACUUGAUCUUUGGUCUUUGGACUUGAGGGUAAUGGUGCAGCUAACUGGCUAACUAACGUAACACCAAUCAAUGAAUAUGCUCAUACAUAGCAGCUAGCCAGUUCAUGCCGGUGGCUGGUGAAGACUAAUUUUAGCGAGAAACCCCGACUGUGUUUUACAUUCUAACAUGCGAUGUUAGUAUGCUUAAACGAUAUCCGUUUUCUCAAAGAGGGCAACGUUUGCUAACCUAGUAAUUCAAACCUACUGCUAAUGUAAAUAUUCACCUUACCCAAACACCGGUCAUUCUUGUGACGGUGCGUCAGAAUAAAAUUCCCGAAUGGAAACUGGAGCUAGAGUUUAGAGUUCUGGUUGUGAAACACGGAACAAAGAAAUCUGAGACUGAAAAUCCAGAGUGGUGAGGAAUCAAGUGGUAGAAGACUUCACUGACCUCUUAAUAUAACCUCUAUGACUGCAACAGGGUUCCGUGGUAAUGGCCUGGUCACGGCACUUUGACAUGUGGCAGCAACUGAGGGAUCAGGGGUCACAAAUGCAGUCCUACUGGUGAGGAAGGGUUCCAGCAGUGACUGACAGGAGAGGAGGGCUCAUAGGUUCCCAUAUAGAGGAAGGGACUACCACAUGGUUCCUCUUUAAGAAGAUUGGAUCCAGCCCACUGCCUGGCUUUCAUUAUGCAAUCACCGCUCUGUACUUCCUGCAUCCAACCCACAGACUGACUAACUAGCCGUUGGGGACUUCCACUUCCAGCCACAGGACACCCGUUGGACCCAGAGAUGGACCGGCCACAGCCUGAACAACAGUGCUCUUUCCUGGGAUUACAAACCUGGGGUCAGUACUUCUGCAUCUCCUCUCCUGCUCCAGCAGAUGUGGAUCCCCAUGGUGACAGGAGAAGAACACCAGAGACACUGCAGAUGGAUGAGUUACACAUCACAAAGAGGAGGAGACAGAAUGACAGACUGCAGGCGCCAUCUGGGAGCGAGAUGUGCAUUACAGGAGCUAUCCAUAUGGUCGGGGCAUCAUGACUUUGCUCAUCUCAUCUCCCGUCAACAUCUCUUCUGCUCACGUCUCAGAUGAUCCACGUACACGUUACUAACAGAAAGACAAAAACAUGCUUCUGUUUAUGUAUUUUUGCAGAGAUUAUACAAUUGUACACAUAACAGUCGGUAUUAGAUUAAAAUGUUAAACUCAUGUCUUCAAUACUCUUAAAAUGUACAUUUCUUCAUGAAUCGGGUGCUAUAGAUUAAGACUCUUCAUACAAUCUGAUUGUAGUACAUUUAUUAUAAUACAGAAAAUGAUUUGCCACCUCCAUAUCAUCCCCACCCCCAGUCGUUGUUCAGUGUCGGGAGCUGGGGGCUUUUUCAGACCCAUCUGCUGUCUCGCACCUUCUAAUCUGCCCCCCCCCCCCCCCCGGAACCCAAUGGCAUCGUACUCCUCAUCCUGUCCCCAUCCUACCCACCCAUCACCCAGUGCAUAAUAUAUUCCCCCUGUAACCAAAUACUACAGCUCACAUUGUAUUAAGCCACAUUGCAUAUGCUUAUAACACAAACAGUGAUGUUUACAGACCUGUCAUCUGGAAUGUACUGUAGGCUAGAUGUAAGAUAAGUGUAUCU